GAAAUUUAAUUGUGACUGGUUGCAGUAUUCCGGGAGCUAGAGAUGGACAACGGAGGCGGGGUCACGUGGCAGCAGACGACACCGGGUCGGGUUCACCUGAGGCCACGCCCACCGGGAGGCGGGGCUUGGCAGGAGUGGGCGGGCUUCCUGGGAGGCGGGGCUUAUCUGCGGGGCGCGGGCCCUGCUCCCGCCCCCCAGGCUGGGGUUCCCGGCGGCGGCUGAGGCGGGCAACCUCCCCGCGGCCCUCCGGAGCUUCUCGGCCCACGACCAGCUCCGCCAUAGCAGCGAAGCUCCAUCCCAUACUCACCUGCUUCUCCACCUUGACCACGCGUCCCAUCAUGCUGAUCUCAUCCACCGCCUCCGUGUCGGAGGGCCCCUUGUCUCCCUUCUCUCGGGCCUUCCGGUCCCCGGGCCCCCGGCCCACAAUCUGGUCCACCCUGCGGAGGAAGGUUUGCAGGUGUUCCAACUAGCCCAGCAGUGGAAGAGCACCACACACCAGCAUGAUGAGUAAAGCAACUGCCUGGUGGGAAGACGGUGGACGGGAAAAGAGAGACCCAAGCAGGAAUGCGAGUUAUAAGGCGGACGCGGCUGGAGCUGGCCCACAGAGCCACAGCGUGACUCUUGAAAGCAUUCUCUCUGCCCUCUAUCUCCAAUUUCUUUCCUCCCUCUCUCUCUUAAACCUAUUCCAGGCAGGCUUUCAUUCCCACCAUCUCACCAAACCUACUGCUGUCAAGAUCCCAAAUGACCUGUGCUGUUAAAUUCGAUGAUCAACUCUCGGCCUCUUUAUACCUUUUAGUGGCACUUGGCACAUCUGAUCGCCCUUCCUCCUGCACUUCCUUCACGUGGGGUCGCAAACACCACCUUCUCCCAGCUCUCCUCCCGCGUCCCUAACCUCUCCUUCUCACCAUCCUUUGCUGGUCCCGCCUCCUUCACCUCCAGGAAACAGCACAAGACCCAAGGCUCACUCCUGGGACCUCUCUUCUCUAUGCACUCUCACUAAGUGACGUCUUCCGUUCCAUAUUUGCAAUUCCUCUGUACCCUGUUGACGGCAAAUCUGUCUCUCCAGCCCACACCUCUCCUCUGAAGCCCAAACUGCUCAGCCUAACUGCCAGAGCAACACUCCUCGUAGAGGUCCGAUGGGCAUCAUAACCCAACACCUCCCAGCUCUCCUGAGUGCAACCUGCUGCACUUGUUGCCUUCUCCAUGUCAACAAACCAACUUUUUCCUGUUCCUCGAGCCAUCACCCUUGGCUUCAGCCUUGACUUUCUUUUUUUUCUCUUAUACUUCCCAUCAGAAAACCCUGUCGGCUCGACCUUCAAAAUAUAUCUGGAGUGUGCACGCUUCUCCCCACCUCCACUGCUGCCAACACUGGUCCAAGUCCUCAUCAUCUCUUGCCUGCACGUCUGAAGCAGCCUCCUCACUGGUCGCCCUGCUUUCACCCUCGCUCCCUGAUAGGUCAUUCUCAGCACAGCACCCAGGGUGCUCCUUUUAAAAUACAACUCAGAUCUUGCCAGUCCUUUGCUCAAAGUUCUCCAAGGCUUGCAUCUCCCCCUGGAUGAAUGCCAGCUUGUCUGCAGUGGCCUACAGGGCUUUAUACAGUCCAAGUGCCAUUCAUCUACUAACCUCGCCUACUUCUCUCAGGCCAGAACAGACACACUGGGCUCCUUGCUGUUCCUAAAACAACACCCCAGACACUUGCCGGAACCUUUGCUCUUGCUGUUCCCUCUGAAAACUCUUCAACAGCCACAGGGUUGCCUGUAGCCUUCAGGCACCUUCAAUUCUUUUCUCAAAUGUCAGCUUCUUGCCUAUUUAAAAUCACAAACCUCAACAACCUAACCCUUCUGUUUCUCCUUAGCCUUGAUCAUCAUCUGACAUCGUCUAGUUUCACUUACUUAUCAUCUGUUCUCCUUCCACCAGAAUAAAAGCUCCAUGAGGCCAGGGACUCUUGCUUUCUACCGGAGCCCCACUGUCUGGCAAAAGUAACAAAAGCUCAAUGACUGUUUCUUAAGAGACCAAGUCAAUGAGUGGACAGUGAGAAUGCAGACCACAAGAGGAAAAGAGCAAGGUGUAGGGCCAGGAAACAGCCAUCUAAAGACGUCCCCCGAGGAGCGCAGGCCAAUAGGGUUCGCAUAGAGGACGGGCGUCUGGGUCCUUCUUCAGGCUCAAGGCAGGCUCUUGAUCCGGCCCAGCAUGUCCAGGUGCCCCGCCGAGUACUGCUCGAUGACGUCCUUCACGUCGUAUGGUCGCAGCGUCUCCUUGAAUUUCCUUUUGGCCACCAGGAAUUUCAGGAUCCUGUCCAGAGAGGGGGGUCUCAGCGGAAACGGAUUCUUUCCCAGCCCCCUUUGCUAUCCUUCCAUCCCUUUGCUAGCUAGCCUUCUGCCCAGCAUGAGAGCACCUUCUGCUUGGGUCACUGCAAAAGCCCCUGCUGGGUCUCCCAGCCUCCCUCCUCCCCACCAGGUUCCACCCCUAGCCCUCUGAUGUCUCUCCCUGGUAUUAUUAUUAUUAUUAUUUAUUAUUAUUAUUAUUAUUAUUAUUAUUAUUAUUAUUAUUAUUAAUUUUAAUGUGCCUGUAUCUGCAGUAGCAUUAGCCUGGGAGGGCAGGGUCUGGGCCUGGUUUCUCCCUGCUAGCUGGGACACAGGGCAGGCAUCUGUGAACACCGGUGAUCAAGACGGCUUGGGGGAAGACAUUUUUGCAUUCGUUCCACAAAUGUUUAUUAGCACCACUAAUAACUGGACCCUGGACACCCAAAAAGGCAUCAGAUCCAAUCCUUGAUCUGAGUAGCCCUGCUGUGGAGUGGGAGACAGGACACAGUUAUGGGGUGACAAAGGCCAUGGCAAGGAAUGGAGGGAUGGUCUGGGAUGAUAAGAAGGGGGCUCUCAGCUGAGGAGGUCAGACGACAAGUCUUGAGAGUGAUUCCGGUCCCAAGGGCAAGAGGGGGAUGAAAAGAGACCUCCUGGACGCAGACAGACAUGGAGGCAUGUGAGGGAGAUUCUGUUCAAAGGAGCCAGAACUAGGAGCCAGAGUGAAACUAAGGGGCAGAUCCACCUGGGGAGGUGGGGUGGUAGGUAAGAAGACAGAGAAAGAUGGGGCUCCUGGGUGGCUCAGUUGGGUUAAGCCUCUGCCUUCAGCUUGGGUCAUGAUCCCAGGGUCCUGGGAUUGAGCCCCG